UGGUACAUGUGCUAAUUCUGGGCAAACCACGGGGACAGUUCAGACCCACCGUCCUUUGCAAGCUGGGGUAAUCUCUGGCCUGGGAACGUCCACUGCCUAGACUGCAGGUGUGCCGAGAUUGCAUGGACGCCUACUGUGUCAGUCAGGCAGCUGUUACUCCUGCUGCUGCAACUGCUACGCUACUGCUGAAAGGUAGUGUGAAUACCCUUUGCAAAGUUUUAGCGGAAAAAUGCUUCUUACAAUGGUGAACACACGCCGCCUGCUGCAGUGUUGGUGGUGGUGAGUGCAGUAUUCAUCAGCUGUUCCCAGUUUGUCUCCUUAGCUUCCCUCGACGCGUUAAAUGACGUCUUUGCUUGACAACGCUGAUGUGUUUUUCCUCGCGUCGCUGCGUCUCAGUGAGAGAGAGAGAGAGAGAGAGAGAGAGAGAGAGAGAGAGAGAGAGAGAGAGAGAGAGAGAGAGAGAGAGAGAGAGGAUGAGUGUAGCAGCGGAGCAUUAUGCCAGUGUUUGUGAGCGUUGGGAGUGAUGGAGCUUCCCUGCACGGCUCAGUAACUCCUUUGUUUUCUCGUGGAGUGUGAUUGUGAUGAAAGGGAUAUUAUAAUACACAGGAGGGGAAGUGCAUAUUGUUGCGGUCCGUGAUAAUGUUGGGCAUUUGGUAACAGUAAGUGGUCCGGGAGACUCAACAGGGGAACAGCAUAUGAGAGUUAAUGGAGGAUACAGUGUAUGGUAUCCUGUUAUUAUAAUUUAUCUGUAACCUGAGAUUGCAUGCUGGGUCCUGUGCUGGUGUGGGGCUGGGGCUGGCCUGAGAAAUGUGUGUAGUGUCCUGUUAAGUGCGGCGGGGGUUGUGAUGAUGUACGGAAGGGGAGCACGGCUUUGUUCCUGAGGGGCGGGCCGGGGCUCAGAUAAGGGUGAGCACAGUGAUCAGUUUGUAGUGGUGUCAUGACCCUUGUGUGCAGGUAGUGUUGCUGGUGGCCAGGAAAACAGUGGCGGUUACCUGUGUUGCCCUGUGUAGUUUGUCAUGUUUAGUAUUAUCAAUCAAUGUGUGUUGACAGAGGGCGUGUUUAGUGCCACUGUGCUGGUGUAUGAAUGUGUGCCAUUACUUAUCUGUUUUAUUUUCUAGAUUUAUUUCAUGAAACCUGGACUUGAGAAUGUCUGAGGAAAAGGAUGUUGACGUUGCUGUUGUAAUGUGUGUGUGUGUGUGUGUGUGUGUGUGUGUGUGUGUGUGUGUGUGUGUGUGUGUGUGUGUGUGUGUGUUUAAAUGCGAGGGCGUUACAGUCAGCGCUUUUAUUUGUCAUGGUCCAAGAUUAAGAAAUAUACGUUUAAUAAUGUCCUCUUAAGUUUUACGACAGCGUUAUUACAAACCAUAAAGAUUAUCACAUUAUAAAGAGAAGUCAUAAAAGGGACACGACUUCUGAAACAGUAAAUACAGCGCCAUCCCAAUGCAGCGGCAGCGGGAGCAAGAGGAGGGCGUGGGGGCGGGAAACGUGUCCCUCCACCAGCCUGCCAGCAGCACGCCUUGGCCACGGCCAGCAGCUCGCCGGGGACCCAUGUUUUGUCUUGGCCCGGCCCUCGUGUGUGCCCUGCAGCUUCCUAAAUCCAAGUGCUCUUGCUGUGCCACGGAACUUCUAGUCCAAAGGAUGCCGACCUUGCAUGGACUAUUUUGAGCAUAGACUCUAACCGAAGUUUUUUUUUUUUUUUUCCACAAAUGCGUUCGUUUGCUUGUGAUCUUACGUGGCUGCUUAGUGUGUGUUUACUUUUAUCAGAUAAAGUUUAUAUUUGUGGAGGCUUUGGACCUUGAAACUGGUCGCUAAGGAAGGGAACCACCCAUUGGAAAAGUUUUUCGAACAGCCUUAGGUCGAUGGUUAUCCAGACAGCGAUGCUGUGGUCCACUUGGCCCAGGAAGUCGCGGAGGAAGUGUGCGAGGAAGAGACAUAAAAAGGAAAGGUUCUCUUGUCCUCCCUGGUGCAGAAGGUAAAGUGUAAGAGGCAUGCCAGGCUUCCUCAAGUGUUCCUAGGGACUCGUGGUAAUGGCGAGGCUUGAAAGAGGUCAAUGGAACAUGAGUCUCCCCCGGCAGAGGAGAGCAAUGGAUGGGUGAUAAUGGACCAAAAAUAAUGUGAACGAUCGAUACACUGCUCACCACACCGUACAAAUGGGAACGUUUCCAAUGCUCCACGGUACUUGAACUUUAUAAAUAAUUUGAGGCAGGAGGCAGGAGUUUGAAGUUCAAGACAUUUUCUUGUUUGGUGUUUCUUUUCUACUCGUUCA